rnacentral:rRNA from 1 species
UACAGAGGGUGCAAGCGUUAAUCGGAGUUACUGGGCGUAAAGGGCGCGUAGGCGGUCAUACAAGUGAGAUGUGAAAUCCCCGGGCUUAACCUGGGAACUGCAUUUUAGACUGUAUGACUGGAGUACUGUAGAGGAUAGUGGAAUUUCCGGUGUAGCGGUGAAAUGCGUAGAGAUCGGAAGGAACACCAGUGGCGAAGGCGACUGUCUGGACAGAUACUGACGCUGAGGCGCGAAAGCGUGGGGAGCAAACAGG